AUUCCAGCUCCAAUAGCGUAUAUUAAAGUUGUUGCAGUUAAAAAGCUCGUAGUUGGAUUUCGGGAUGGGCCAGUCGGUCUGCCGUAAGGUAUGUUACUGGCUGGUCUGUCCUUCUUCGCAAAGGCUGCGUGUGCCCUUAAUUGUGUGUGCGUAGGAUUUGCGACGUUUACUUUGAAGAAAUUAGAGUGUUCAAAGCAGGCUGACCGCUUGAAUACAUGAGCAUGGAAUAAUGGAAUAGGACUUUGAUUCUAUUUUGUUGGUUUCUUGAACCGAAGUAAUGAUUAAGAGGGACAGUUGGGGGCAUUCGUAUUUCGUUGUCAGAGGUGAAAUUCUUGGAUUUACGAAAGACGAACAACUGCGAAAGCAUUUGCCAAGAAUGUUUUCAUCA
rnacentral:rRNA from 1 species